AUGAACGCUAGCGGCAGGCUUAACACAUGCAAGUCAGGGGCAGCAAGGAUUGUGCUUGCACAAUCUGUUGGCGACCGGCGCACGGGUGCGUAACGCGUAUGCAACCUACCUUUAACAGGGGGGAUAACACUGAGAAAUUGGUACUAAUACCCCAUAAUACUUUGAGAGGCAUCCUAUUGAGUUGAAAGUUCCGGCGGUUAGAGAUGGACAUGCGUUGUAUUAGCUAGAUGGUGAGGUAACGGCUCACCAUGGCGACGAUACAUAGGGGGACUGAGAGGUUAACCCCCCACACUGGUACUGAGACACGGACCAGACUCCUACGGGAGGCAGCAGUGAGGAAUAUUGGUCAAUGGACGCAAGUCUGAACCAGCCAUGCCGCGUGCAGGAUGACGGCUCUAUGAGUUGUAAACUGCUUUUGUACAAGGGUAAACCCCGAUACGUGUAUCGGGCUGAAAGUACUGUACGAAUAAGGAUCGGCUAACUCCGUG
rnacentral:rRNA from 1 species